GGAAGUUACACAACUGACUUGAACUAUGAAGAUGAAUGCCAUCUCUGCUUUGGAGACUGCAACCCUAAGUUUCAUCUUAAAGUGGUUCAGAACUGCACCAGUACGUCUGAUAUGAAAUGUGACUGCGAGGAUGGUUUUAGAUGCAUCAGGUGGGCCCAUGACAAAAAGAACUGCUUGUCUUGUGAGAAGAUGCCAGACCCAACCCCAACCAAAGCAGCAGCUACAGAGAUCUCAGUCAGAGAUAAACACACGCCUUUCUCAGUUUCCUCCGGACAUACCAGCACUUCUCCCAAACCCUGCCAAUCUCCAGGGUGUCACCCAACGAAAGAGCCGAAUCCCACGGGAGGUCAUGCCAACCAUUACCUGGCAGCUAUUUUCAUUCCAGUGGGUGUCCUUGCAACUUUGGCCCUUCUCACCUUGUUCUGUGUCUGUCGUCCAAGAGAUGAGACAUAUAUAAGGCAAACUAUUGCAAAGCUCUGGAAUGAGGAAGGGCGAGGUGCUUCUCACAAGUCAAGGGAGCCAACUCAUCAGUUCCCCAGAGACUCAUUCAGUACAAAGCAGCAGCCCUCAACACCUUCAGCAGCCAAUCUUGGUCCAGUCCAUGUGCACAAUCCAGGCACAGUCAUCUUUAGCUUGCUCAGUCAAUUUACGGGUCAAGUCGGGCCAACGACCGAAUGUGGGAAGACGGCUGAGAGAGCGAGGAGAGAGGAAGAGGAUGAGAGAAACUGUCCAGUGUUUCAUCCUGCAUCUUCUCCCAGCAUUCAUCUCUCUGAGGAGGAGAGGAGUGGAGAGAAUGACACCAUUUUCUUCCCUUCCCAGGAGCAGGGGAAAGACUCCCACAUGUCGAAAGAGGAGAUCCUAUGAUGCAUCUCAAAAAAUUCAGAAGACUUGGAUACAACAAACUUUGAAACCACAGAUGAGUAUGGAUCAUAUUCGUCUUUCCUCAGCAAGCUGCGGAUGCACUGACUUUGUUUCUGCAGCUUCUGGAAAACACUCACCUCAGAAAUGUAUUAAAUCUCGGAAGAACAGCUGCAAAGUGGUCUUCUUUGUAAGUUAUGAUUUACGAACUCUUGUAUAUACUUUUAAUAAGCUUCUUUGGCUCAGUGCAAAGAAUGCCAUCCAAGGUGUAGAAAGCUUUGUUAGGUAGUUAUUAGGUAG
ensembl:lncRNA